rnacentral:rRNA from 1 species
AGAGUUUGAUCAUGGCUCAGAAUCAACGCUGGCGGCGCGCUUAACACAUGCAAGUCGAACGAGAAAGGGGAGCAAUCCCUGAGUAAAGUGGCGUACGGGUGAGUAACACGUGGGUAAUCUACCUUUUGGUGGGGAAUAACCCUGGGAAACCGGGGCUAAUACCGCAUAAGCCUGAGAAGGGAAAGGCGAAAGUCGCCGAAAGAGGAGCCCGCGGCUGAUUAGCUAGUUGGUGGGGUAAAGGCUCACCAAGGCGAAGAUCGGUAGCCGGCCUGAGAGGGCACACGGCCACACUGGCACUGAAACACGGGCCAGACUCCUACGGGAGGCAGCAGUGGGGAAUCUUGCACAAUGGGGGGAACCCUGAUGCAGCGACGCCGCGUGAGUGAUGAAGCCCUUCGGGGUGUAAAGCUCUUUCGGCAGGGACGAUAAUGACGGUACCUGAAGAAGAAGCUGCGGCUAACUACGUGCCAGCAGCCGCGGUAAUACGUAGGCAGCGAGCGUUGUUCGGAGUUACUGGGCGUAAAGAGUGCGUAGGCGGUUUUCUAAGUUUGGUGUGAAAUCUCCCGGCUUAACUGGGAGGGUGCGCCGAAGACUGGGAGGCUAGAGUAUGGGAGAGGUAAGCGGAAUUCCUGGUGUAGCGGUGAAAUGCGUAGAUAUCAGGAGGAACACCUGCGGUGUAGACGGCUUACUGGACCAUAACUGACGCUGAGGCACGAAAGCGUGGGUAGCAAACAGGAUUAGAUACCCUAGUAGUCC